CACACGCUAGGAACAAACUUGAGUUUUCUUCCCAACAAAACAAAUCAUCAUUAACGAUGAUACACCAUGAAAGAAAAACCUUCGAACAGACCCUAGAACACUGCAAAAUCAUGAAAAAACUUGAUCUGAUUCAAAGGAUUUCUCUUUUACUGAACAAAACAGCUAAACCUAAACCCUAUACAGCCGAAAAUCCACAACCCUAACUUUCCAUCUUCUCUUCCACUUUCUCCCUCUGCGAAUCUUCUUUCGUAUUCUUGGUUUUUUUUUAUGUGGUUAUUGAUUGGAGGAUCCUACAAGCUUUCUCCAGCCAUGUUAUACAGAUGAUUUCCUUCUUUGUGUCUUCGUUGAAAGCCUGUUUCAUCAUCCUCAAAUUUCAAGUCUCGAAGUGAUUUGUAUCUCAAUUUUGUAUUUAUUUAUUUUUUUAUAUAAUUUUUGAUUAGGGUUUGCUUUUCUUGCAAAUACUUUGCUGCCAUUUUUUUUCCUGCCUAAACGGCUAAACCUAUCCUCUUUUGCGUGGAAGCAAAUUAGAAUCAAAAUAAGUAUUAUAUCCCAACCAUAACUUAAACCCUAAAUACUUUGUCUUCUCCUCUGGCUCCCUAUUUUCUUUCCCUCAUUCAGAAAGAUAACAAUGAUAAAUACUUUUUUUUAUCAGUAAAUACAAUGAUGAAUACUAAGUGGAAUCAUGGGUCAGCCGGGAUUUCAACAUUCAGUUCUGUAAGUGUAAGUUUAUUUGUGAUAAUAUGGUGUUUUCUAUGGAGGCGAGAUUGAUUGCAGAAGAUGUCACCAUCUCAGUUCGCGAAGCCAAAUCAGAGGCUGAUGGAAUCGGAAAAAUAUACUGAGGUGACUUUGAGGGAUUCACAGACAUCUGUUCCCAGGGCUACACCUACACUAUGUGAAAAUGAUGUAUCAAAAUAGGCAAGAUAUCUUGCCAGUGCUGCUGCUAAUAGUGGACUAUAGGGAAAAGAUGGCAGAACUACGAGAAUAUAUUGAUCCUGAUUAAAUGGGGUCGAAUGCUCUCAGUUCUCACUAUGUCUACAAUGACUCCAUGAAUAAGGGUGUAUGAAGAACAGAGAGACUCACUUAUGGUAAAAAAGAGUACCCCUCUCACGUUAGACCACUAGAAAGAGCACCUAACGAAUCAACUACAAGAAGCAUACACAGCGCGCCGCUCCUUACAGUAGUGAACAUCAGCAUGAACCGUUUGUAUCCAGGGAUUUCCAGUGAAAAUUUGGAAGAGCUUUCCGAGAACAUAAUAUGCAUCUGAGGGAUGGAGAAACACCUAGCCAUAUUUAAGUAUUUGCGAGAAGCACCAUUUGUACAUAUAGGUGGUUGCAAGUAAUUUUUCUGGAGAAGAAUGGUCUCAAAAGAUAACAGUUAGGAUCACAGAUAUGAAGUAGAUCAGUGGAAGGAACAAAUAUCUCUAGUUGAAAAUGCAUUAAAGGAUUGAAAAAGGGAACGAGCUUGGAUUUAGACGAAGAAGAAAUAGAUCAGAAAAUUUAUCUAAGAGAUUGAAUAUUUUAUCUGCAUUAGACAUAUUAAGAAGACCGCAACUGUCUUCCUGCUGUUGGUUUCCAUUACUACCACCGUGUGAGUUUUCUUCCCAAUAAUGGGAAAAAUUAAAGUGAUUUUCUCUAAUACAACUUUUCAAAAGAUCCAUUUGGAUUGUAUAGGUUCCUUGGGGAGUAAUUGGCCAUUGUAUAAGCCAAAGAGCUCCAACCUAAUGAACCUAUUAUAUUGUUUCUUACCAUAAAUUGAGUCUCCUGAUAUAUUCUUCUAAUGAUUCAGUUCAAUCUCUAGCUCUUCUCCAAUAUUAAAUGUUUAAUGGAUCUUUUUACUACAUUCCAUAAAUGAAGAUCAUCU